GCGGUGGGGUGUCACCUGUUCUGGUUUUGCCGAACCUCCUACAGCCUAAAGGCUCCAGUUAGGCUGCUCUGCUUGCUUGCUUUUGCAGGGUUAAGGUAAGGUUACUAGCAUGGUACAGAGGUUAGGAAAAAGUCCUAACUAGUUAACUUUCUGAAAUAAUGUAAACACCCUUACCACUCAUGGCUAUUUUUCCAGGGAUCCUGGUAGUGGGAGUUAAUCUGAUUCUAUCUGUGUCUGGUAAAACAAAGAAUGGUGUGAUGAAUCUUGGGUCACACCUAUGUGCUAUAAAUGAACUGAAAUUGAGACCCAGAUAUUUAGACUCAGGUGUGUUGUUUUUUUUUCAGCGCCUUUGUUGAAAUUCCUAGGUAUGUGACAUUACUAAGUUUGUGACAUGGAAUUAACCUUCUCUGAGGAAUGCUAACGUUAACAUCAAUGGAAAUGCAAUUCUUUGCCUACUUUCAUGAAAGAAAAUUUACAAUUUAAUUUAAAGAAAAGCCCCAGUCUGGGAUUGCUUGACCUUCCUAGUUAUUCUCUGG